rnacentral:rRNA from 1 species
GACGAACGCUGGCGGCGCGCCUAACACAUGCAAGUCGAACGGAGCUGAGAGAAGCUUGCUUUUCUUAGCUUAGUGGCGAACGGGUGAGUAACGCGUGAGUAACCUGCCCUGGAGUGGGGGACAACAGUUGGAAACGACUGCUAAUACCGCAUAAGCCCACGAUCCGGCAUCGGAUUGAGGGAAAAGGAUUUAUUCGCUUCAGGAUGGACUCGCGUCCAAUUAGCUAGUUGGUGAGGUAACGGCCCACCAAGGCGACGAUUGGUAGCCGGACUGAGAGGUUGAACGGCCACAUUGGGACUGAGACACGGCCCAGACUCCCACGGGAGGCAGCAGUGGGGGAUAUUGCACAAUGGGGGAAACCCUGAUGCAGCGACGCCGCGUGGAGGAAGAAGGUUUUCGGAUUGUAAACUCCUGUCGUUAGGGACGAUAAUGACGGUACCUAACAAGAAAGCACCGGCUAACUACGUG